CCCAGCUCAUCAUGCUAGAGCACUUUUUCAAUAUGCUCCCCAACGAGAAGGCGACAACGGAUUCAUAUGUCAAUCCAUAUCAACUUUCGAUGCCAUUGACUGCACCUACCAUGGUGACCAUGGAUAACGGGGAAUCAGGGUUCAAUUCCAUACAGGGACCCUGACAAACGGCUACCACAUGCAAGGAAGACAGCAGGCACGCAAAUGACCCACUCCCAACGCGGGAAGGUAGUGACG
rnacentral:rRNA from 1 species